rnacentral:rRNA from 1 species
AACGAACGCUGGCGGCAUGCCUAACACAUGCAAGUCGAACGAAGGCUUCGGCCUUAGUGGCGCACGGGUGCGUAACGCGUGGGAAUCUGCCCCUCGGUUCGGAAUAACAGUUAGAAAUGACUGCUAAUACCGGAUGAUGACUUCGGUCCAAAGAUUUAUCGCCGAGGGAUGAGCCCGCGUAAGAUUAGGUAGUUGGUGGGGUAAAGGCCUACCAAGCCGACGAUUUUUAGCUGGUCUGAGAGGAUGAUCAGCCACACUGGGACUGAGACACGGCCCAGACUCCUACGGGAGGCAGCAGUGGGGAAUAUUGGACAAUGGGCGAAAGCCUGAUCCAGCAAUGCCGCGUGAGUGAUGAAGGCCUUAGGGUUGUAAAGCUCUUUUACCAGGGAUGAUAAUGACAGUACCUGGAGAAUAAGCUCCGGCUAACUCCGUGCCAGCAGCCGCCGUAAUAC